UGUUGGGGUAACGGCCCAACAAGCCAUUGAUCGGUACGGGUUGUGGGAGCAAGAGCCCGGAGAUGGAUUCUGAGACAUGAAUCCAGGCCCUACGGGGCGCAGCAGGCGCGAAAACUUUACAAUGCGAGCAAUCGUGAUAAGGAAACCCUGAGUGCCUGUCAAUGCAGGCUGUUCUGGUGUCUAACACACACCAGGAGAAAGGGCGGGGCAAGACCGGUGCCAGCCGCCGCGGUAAUACCGGCUGCUCGAGUGAUAGCCACUUUUACUGGGCUUAAAGCGUUCGUAGCUUGGUCGUUAAGUCUCUGGGGAAAUCUUUUGGCUCAACCAAAAGGCGUCUCAGGGAAACUGACGAUCUUGGAACCGGGAGAGGUAAGACGUACUUCGGGGGUAGGAGUGAAAUCUUGUAAUCCCCGAGGGACGACCGAUGGCGAAGGCAUCUUACCAGAACGGCUUCGACAGUGAGGGACGAAAGCUGGGGGAGCAAACCGGAUUAGAU
rnacentral:rRNA from 1 species